GAUGAACGCUGGCGGCGUGCCUAAUACAUGCAAGUCGAGCAAACGGACGAGAAGCUUGCUUCUCUGAUGUUAGCGGCGGACGGGUGAGUAACACGUGGAUAACCUACCUAUAAGACUGGGAUAACUUCGGGAAACCGGAGCUAAUACCGGAUAAUAUUUUGAACCGCAUGGUUCAAAAGUGAAAGACGGUCUUGCUGUCACUUAUAGAUGGAUCCGCGCUGCAUUAGCUAGUUGGUAAGGUAACGGCUUACCAAGGCAACGAUGCAUAGCCGACCUGAGAGGGUGAUCGGCCACACUGGAACUGAGACACGGUCCAGACUCCUACGGGAGGCAGCAGUAGGGAAUCUUCCGCAAAGGGCGAAAGCCUGACGGAGCAACGCCGCGUGAGUGAUGAAGGUCUUCGGAUCGUAAAACUCUGUUAUUAGGGAAGAACAUAUGUGUAAGUAACUGUGCACAUCUUGACGGUACCUAAUCAGAAAGCCACGGCUAACUACGUG
rnacentral:rRNA from 1 species